AUUGAACGCUGGCGGCAGGCUUAACACAUGCAAGUCGAGCGGGGUGAUGGUGCUUGCACUAUCACUUAGCGGCGGACGGGUGAGUAAUGCUUAGGAAUCUGCCUAUUAGUGGGGGACAACAUCUCGAAAGGGAUGCUAAUACCGCAUACGUCCUACGGGAGAAAGCAGGGGAUCACUUGUGACCUUGCGCUAAUAGAUGAGCCUAAGUCGGAUUAGCUAGUUGGUGGGGUAAAGGCCUACCAAGGCGACGAUCGGUAGCGGGUCUGAGGGGAUGAUCCGCCACACUGGGACUGAGACACGGCCCAGAAUCCUACGGGAGGCAGCAGUGGGGAAUAUUGGACAAUGGGGGGAACCCUGAUCCAGCCAUGCCGCGUGUGUGAAGAAGGCCUUAUGGUUGUAAAGCACUUUAAGCGAGGAGGAGGCUCUUUUGGUUAAUACCCAAGAUGAGUGGACGUUACUCGCAGAAUAAGCACCGGCUAACUCUGUGCCAGCCGCCGCCGUAA
rnacentral:rRNA from 1 species